UACGUAGGGUGCGAGCGUUAAUCGGAAUUACUGGGCGUAAAGCGUGCGCAGGCGGUUCGUUGUGUCGGCGGUGAAAGCCCCGGGCUCAACCUGGGAAUGGCCGUUGAAACUGGCGAACUGGAGUGUGGCAGAGGGGGGUGGAAUUCCGCGUGUAGCAGUGAAAUGCGCAGAUAUCAGGAGGAACACCGAUGGCGAAGGCAGCUUGCUGGGACGGUACUGACGCUGAGACGCGAAAGCGUGGGGAGCAAACAGG
rnacentral:rRNA from 1 species